UACGGAGGGGGCUAGCGUUGUUCGGAAUUACUGGGCGUAAAGCGCACGUAGGCGGCUUUGUAAGUUAGAGGUGAAAGCCCAGGGCUCAACCCUGGAAUUGCCUUUAAGACUGCAUCGCUAGAAUUGUGGAGAGGUAAGUGGAAUUCCGAGUGUAGAGGUGAAAUUCGUAGAUAUUCGGAAGAACACCAGUGGCGAAGGCGACUUACUGGACACAUAUUGACGCUGAGGUGCGAAGGCGUGGGGAGCAAACAGG
rnacentral:rRNA from 1 species